UAAAACUCGCGCACACAAAACGCACGGUC
rnacentral:ncRNA from 2 species